rnacentral:rRNA from 1 species
UACGUAGGGGCCGAGCGUUGUCCGGAGUUAUUGGGCGUAAAGCGCGCGCAGGCGGCCUCGCGCGCCCGACGUGAAAGCCCCCGGCUUAACCGGGGAGGGUCGUUGGGGACGGCGGAGCUUGAGGGCGGGAGAGGUCGGUGGAAUUCCCGGUGUAGUGGUGAAAUGCGUAGAGAUCGGGAGGAACACCUGUGGCGAAGGCGGCCGACUGGGCCGACCCUGACGCUGAGGCGCGAAGGCGUGGGGAGCGAACGGG